rnacentral:rRNA from 1 species
UCAGUCGACUCCUACGGGGAGGCAGCAGUGGGGGAAUAUUGCACAAUGGGCGCAAGCCUGAUGCAGCCAUGCCGCGUGUAUGAAGAAGGCCUUCGGGUUGUAAAGUACUUUCAGCAGUGAGGAAGGUGGGUAUGUUAAUAGCAUAUUCAUUUGACGUUAGCUGCAGAAGAAAGCACCGGCUAACUCCGUGCCAGCAGCCGCGGUAAUACGGAGGGUGCGAGCGUUAAUCGGAAUUACUGGGCGUAAAGCGCAUGCAGGUGGUUUGUUAAGUCAGAUGUGAAAGCCCGGGGCGUCAACCUCGGAAUUGCAUUUGAAACUGGCAAACUAGAGUACUGUAGAGGGGGGUAGGAAUUUCAGGUGUAGCGGUGAAAUGCGUAGAGAUCUGAAGGAAUACCGGUGGCGAAGGCGGCCCCCUGGACAGAUACUGACACUCAGAUGCGAAAGCGUGGGGAGCAAACAGGAUUAGAUACCCUGGUAG